rnacentral:piRNA from 1 species
UGGGAAUGGUUUACCUUUAGUCUCCGAA